CCGAGAAUAUUCGACAAUGGGCGAAAGCCUGAUCGAGCGAUACCGCGUGGUGGAUGAAGUGCUUCGGCACGUAAACACCUUUUAUGAGGGAGGAAGUUAUUGACGUUACCUCAUGAAUAAGGGGCUCCUAACUCUGUGCCAGCAGGAGCGGUAAUACAGAGGCCCCGAGCAUUACCCGGAAUUACUGGGCGUAAAGGGUGCGUAGGUGGUCGUAUUAGUCGUCUGUUAAAAACCGUGGCUCAACUGCGGGGAUGCAGGCGAAACGGUACGACUCGAGGGCGUGAGAGGUGCAUAGAACUCUAGGUGUAGGGGUGAAAUCCGUUGAUAUCUAGGGGAAUACCGAAAGCGAAGGCAGUGCACUGGCGCGUUCCUGACACUCAAGCACGAAAGCGUGGGUAGCGAACGGGAUUAGAUACCCCCGUAGUCC
rnacentral:rRNA from 1 species